rnacentral:sRNA from 1 species
ACAUGAAGAAGAAGAAUCUGACAU